rnacentral:tRNA from 1 species
GCCGGGGUGUGGUAGCGGCAUCCCUUGGGACUGUGGAUCCCAAGACCUGGGUUCAAUUCCCAGCUCCGGCCC